GGAAUAUUGGACAAUGGGCGAAAGCCUGAUCCAGCAACGCCGCGUGGAGGAUGAAGGCCUUCGGGUUGUAAACUCCUGUCAGGUGGAACGAAAAAGCCUGCCCCACAAGCAGGUACUAUGACGGUACCACCAGAGGAAGCCCCGGCUCACUCUGUGCCACCAGCCGCGGUACUACAGAGGGGGCAAGCGUUAUUCGGAAUUAUUGGGCGUAAAGGGCGCGUAGGCGGCAUUGUAAGUCAGGGGUGAAAUCCCUCGGCUCAACCGAGGAAUUGCCUCUGAAACUGCAUUGCUUGAGACCGGGAGAGGGUAGUGGAAUUCCCAGUGUAGCGGUGAAAUGCGUAGAUAUUGGGAGGAACACCGGUGGCGAAGGCGGCUACCUGGACCGGUUCUGACGCUGAGGCGCGAAAGUGUGGGGAGCAAAC
rnacentral:rRNA from 1 species